rnacentral:rRNA from 1 species
AAUGGGUGAUGGCGUGCCUUUUGUAGAAUGAACCGGCGAGUUACGAUUGCAUGCGAGGUUAAGUUGAAGAGACGGAGCCGCAGCGAAAGCGAGUCUGAAUAGGGCGUUUGAGUAUGUAGUCGUAGACCCGAAACCAUGUGAUCUACCCAUGUCCAGGUUGAAGGUGCGGUAAAACGCACUGGAGGACCGAACCCACGUACGUUGAAAAGUGCGGGGAUGAGGUGUGGGUAGCGGAGAAAUUCCAAACGAACUUGGAGAUAGCUGGUUCUCUCCGAAAUAGCUUUAGGGCUAGCCUCGGAAUUGAGAAUGAUGGAGGUAGAGCACUGUUUGGACUAGGGGCCCAUCUCGGGUUACCGAAUUCAGAUAAACUCCGAAUGCCAUUCAUUCAUAUCCGGGAGUCAGACUGUGAGUGAUAAGAUCCAUAGUCGAAAGGGAAACAGCCCAGACCACCAGCUAAGGUCCCAAAAUAUAUGUUAAGUGGAAAAGGAUGUGGGGUUGCACAGACAACUAGG